rnacentral:rRNA from 1 species
AAGCGCUCAUGACCAGACUUGGGCCCGGUGAAUCACCCAGCGUUCUCGCUGGGGCACUUUGCCGGGCUCAGGCCAGCAUCAGUUCGCGCCGGGGGACAAAGACUUCGGGAAUGUGGCUCCUCCGGGAGUGUUAUAGCCCGUUGUGCAAUACCCUGGGGCGGACUGAGGUUCGCGCAUCUGCAAGGAUGCUGGCGUAAUGGUCAUCAGCGA